GCUUAACACAUGCAAGUCGAGGGGCAUCAGGAAGAAAGCUUGCUUUCUUUGCUGGCGACCGGCGCACGAGUGAGUAACACGUAUCCAACCUGCCCUUUACUCGGGGAUAGCCUUUCGAAAGAAAGAUUAAUACCCGAUAGCAUAAUGAUUCCGCAUGGUUUCAUUAUUAAAGGAUUCCGGUAAAGGAUGGGGAUGCGUUCCAUUAGGUUGUUGGUGAGGUAACGGCUCACCAAGCCUUCGAUGGAUAGGGGUUCUGAGAGGAAGGUCCCCCACAUUGGAACUGAGACACGGUCCAAACUCCUACGGGAGGCAGCAGUGAGGAAUAUUGGUCAAUGGGCGGUAGCCUGAACCAGCCAAGUAGCGUGAAGGAUGAAGGCUCUAUGGGUCGUAAACUUCUUUUAUAUAAGAAUAAAGUGCAGUAUGUAUACUGUUUUGUAUGUAUUAUAUGAAUAAGGAUCGGCUAACUCCGUGCCAGCAGCCGCGGUAAUACGGAGGAUCCGAGCGUUAUCCGGAUUUAUUGGGUUUAAAGGGAGCGUAGGUGGACUGGUAAGUCAGUUGUGAAAGUUUGCGGCUCAACCGUAAAAUUGCAGUUGAUACUGUCAGUCUUGAGUACAGUAGAGGUGGGCGGAAUUCGUGGUGUAGCGGUGAAAUGCUUAGAUAUCACGAAGAACUCCGAUUGCGAAGGCAGCUCACUGGACUGCAACUGACACUGAUGCUCGAAAGUGUGGGUAUCAAACAGGAUUAGAUACCCUGGUAGUCCACACAGUAAACGAUGAAUACUCGCUGUUUGCGAUAUACAGUAAGCGGCCAAGCGAAAGCAUUAAGUAUUCCACCUGGGGAGUACGCCGGCAACGGUGAAACUCAAAGGAAUUGACGGGGGCCCGCACAAGCGGAGGAACAUGUGGUUUAAUUCGAUGAUACGCGAGGAACCUUACCCGGGCUUAAAUUGCAGUGGAAUGAUGUGGAAACAUGUCAGUGAGCAAUCACCGCUGUGAAGGUGCUGCAUGGUUGUCGUCAGCUCGUGCCGUGAGGUGUCGGCUUAAGUGCCAUAACGAGCGCAACCCUUAUCUUCAGUUACUAACAGGUCAUGCUGAGGACUCUGGAGAGACUGCCGUCGUAAGAUGUGAGGAAGGUGGGGAUGACGUCAAAUCAGCACGGCCCUUACGUCCGGGGCUACACACGUGUUACAAUGGGGGGUACAGAAGGCAGCUAGCGGGUGACCGUAUGCUAAUCCCAAAAUCCUCUCUCAGUUCGGAUCGAAGUCUGCAACCCGACUUCGUGAAGCUGGAUUCGCUAGUAAUCGCGCAUCAGCCACGGCGCGGUGAAUACGUUCCCGGGCCUUGUACACACCGCCCGUCAAGCCAUGGGAGCCGGGGGUACCUGAAGUACGUAACCGCAAGGAUCGUCCUAGGGUAAAACUGGUGACUGGGGCUAAGU
rnacentral:rRNA from 1 species